rnacentral:rRNA from 1 species
GAUGAACGCUAGCGGCAGGCUUAACACAUGCAAGUCGAGGGGCAGCGCGAUGUAGCAAUACAUUGGCGGCGACCGGCGCACGGGUGCGUAACACGUAUGGAACUUACCCUUUACUGGGAGAUAGCCCGGAGAAAUCCGGAUUAAUAUCCCAUAAUAAACGAAGUGGCAUCACUUUGUUUUGAAAGCUCCGGCGGUAAAGGAUGGCCAUGCGCACGAUUAGCUAGUAGGUGAGGUAACGGCUCACCUAGGCUACGAUCGUUAGGGGGCCUGAGAGGGUUAUCCCCCACACUGGUACUGAGACACGGACCAGACUCCUACGGGAGGCAGCAGUGAGGAAUAUUGCGCAAUGGAGGCAACUCUGACGCAGCCAUGCCGCGUGCAGGAAGAAGGCGCUACGCGUUGUAAACUGCUUUUAACCGGGAAGAAACCCUCCGACGUGUCGGAGGUUGACGGUACCGGAGGAAUAAGCACCGGCUAACUUCGUGCCAGCAGCCGCGGUAAAGUAGACGU